GCGGCAGCUACCAUGCAGUCGAGCGGGGAAGGUAGCUUGCUACCUAACCUAGCGGCGGACGGGUGAGUAAUGCUUAGGAAUCUGCCUAUUAGUGGGGGACAACAUUCCGAAAGGAAUGCUAAUACCGCAUACGCCCUACGGGGGAAAGCAGGGGAUCUUCGGACCUUGCGCUAAUAGAUGAGCCUAAGUCAGAUUAGCUAGUUGGUGGGGUAAAGGCCUACCAAGGCGACGAUCUGUAGCGGGUCUGAGAGGAUGAUCCGCCACACUGGGACUGAGACACGGCCCAGACUCCUACGGGAGGCAGCAGUGGGGAAUAUUGGACAAUGGGCGAAAGCCUGAUCCAGCCAUGCCGCGUGUGUGAAGAAGGCCUUUUGGUUGUAAAGCACUUUAAGCGAGGAGGAGGCUACCGAGAUUAAUACUCUUGGAUAGUGGACGUUACUCGCAGAAUAAGCACCGGCUAACUCUGUGCCAGCAGCCGCGGUAAUACAGAGGGUGCGAGCGUUAAUCGGAUUUACUGGGCGUAAAGCGUGCGUAGGCGGCUUUUUAAGUCGGAUGUGAAAUCCCUGAGCUUAACUUAGGAAUUGCAUUCGAUACUGGGAAGCUAGAGUAUGGGAGAGGAUGGUAGAAUUCCAGGUGUAGCGGUGAAAUGCGUAGAGAUCUGGAGGAAUACCGAUGGCGAAGGCAGCCAUCUGGCCUAAUACUGACGCUGAGGUACGAAAGCAUGGGGAGCAAACAGGAUUAGAUACCCUGGUAGUCCAUGCCGUAAACGAUGUCUACUAGCCGUUGGGGCCUUUGAGGCUUUAGUGGCGCAGCUAACGCGAUAAGUAGACCGCCUGGGGAGUACGGUCGCAAGACUAAAACUCAAAUGAAUUGACGGGGGCCCGCACAAGCGGUGGAGCAUGUGGUUUAAUUCGAUGCAACGCGAAGAACCUUACCUGGUCUUGACAUAGUAA
rnacentral:rRNA from 1 species